GGGGAAUAUAUUUUCCCCAGAGUGACCUACACAGAAUUAAUCAAUCGUAAAUCGAAAUCUGUUUUCAUAUUGAAUCCACGUGUCACGUGUGUAUAAAUCAUUAGCCUUUGUAUUGCAACCUUCCUUUAAAAAAAAAGACUUUUAGCUUUGUUUAACCAAAGGUUUGUGGUAUCAAAAUAGAAAGCAAUUUUAUGUAUAAUGAGUCAUGAUUAUAUUUUUCGCAAUUUUAACGUAUAAUGCUUGGGCAUGAAUAGAUAACAAGCCAAAUCCUGAAAGCUCGUCCAAGUUGUAGUAUUGCAUGGAUAUGAGGUAAAUAUGGGGAUGAUAAAAAGUUUUCUCAACUUCUAUUUCACUAAGGCAAUGAAGAUGUAUAACGUAACUUAUAUUAUGACAUUUUCGUGAUUCCGUAACAAAUUCAUAAGUAUUGGAAUGUUGUUCAAUCAUUUAGAUUGCUGGAAGGGAAAGAGAACUACUGAUAGGCUUAUACUAUAUGUGACAAAGUCGGCAACCAGGCGACGAGCUGACGAACCGAGGCGAUGGGGUACGACAACAAUGUAGCCAGGAAGGUGACCUUCAGGUUGAUAGCGACCACGACGGCUACCGGGUUACGACUACUGUGGUGGUGAGCAAGCGAUUUCGAGACUGAUGGCGACCACGGUGGUAACCAGCGAGGGAAGAAGGGCGGUGGCCAGGGUGACUACCAGGGUGAUGGCAACCGGAGCAAGGAACAAGAUGACGGCAACGAUGAUCAUCAGGAUGAAGCCGACCAGGGCGACGGCAUGGACGGCAACCGAAGCUUGACCACGGUAAAGACGACCGAGCCGGGGCGACGACCAGAGGGACGGCGACCAGGGUGAUAGCUACGGA